UACGUAGGGUCCGAGCGUUGUCCGGAAUUAUUGGGCGUAAAGGGCUCGUAGGCGGUUCGUCACGUCGGGCGUGAAAACUCGGGGCUUAACCCCGAGCCUGCUUCCGAUACGGGCAGACUAGAGGUAGGCAGGGGAGAGCGGAACUCCUGGUGUAGCGGUGAAAUGCGCAGAUAUCAGGAAGAACACCCGUGGCGAAAGCGGCUCUCUGGAACGGUACUGACGCUGAGACGCGAAAGCGUGGGGAGCGAACAGG
rnacentral:rRNA from 1 species